ACAGAGGUCCCGAGCGUUGUUCGGAUUCACUGGGCGUAAAGGGUGCGUAGGUGGUUGGGCAAGUCUGAUGUGAAAUCUCCGGGCUUAACCCGGAAAUGGCAUUGGAAACUGCUUGGCUAGAGUGUUGGAGGGGGGACUGGAAUUCUCGGUGUAGCAGUGAAAUGCGUAGAUAUCGAGAGGAACACCAGUGGCGAAGGCGAGUCCCUGGACAACGACUGACACUGAGGCACGAAAGCUAGGGGAGCAAACAGGA
rnacentral:rRNA from 1 species